rnacentral:tRNA from 1 species
UGGUAGAGCACCUGACUCUUAAUCAGGGUGUCCAGGGUUCGAGCCCCUGGCGGUGCA